AACCUCCGCAAUGUGAGAAAUCGCGACGGGGGGAUCCCAAGUGCCAUUCUUAACGGGAUGGCUUUUCAUUAGUGUAAAGAGCUUUUGGAAUAAGAGCUGGGCAAGACCGGUGCCAGCCGCCGCGGUAACACCGGCAGCUCUAGUGGUAGCAAUUUUUAUUGGGCCUAAAGCGUCCGUAGCCGGUUUAAUAAGUCUCUGGUGAAAUCCUGUAGCUUAACUGUGGGAAUUGCUGGAGAUACUAUUAGACUUGAGACCGGGAGAGGUUAGAGGUACUCCCAGGGUAGAGGUGAAAUUCUGUAAUCCUGGGAGGACCGCCUGUUGCGAAGGCGUCUAACUGGAACGGUUCUGACGGUGAGGGACGAAAGUUAGGGGCGCGAACCGGAUUAGAUACCCGGGUAGUCCUAACUGUAACGAUGCGGACUUGGUGUUGGGGUGGUUUUGAGCUGCUCCAGUGCCGAAGGGAAGCUGUUAAGUCCGCCGCCUGGGAAGUACGGUCGCAAGACUGAAACUUAAAGGAAUU
rnacentral:rRNA from 1 species